rnacentral:rRNA from 1 species
UACAGAGGUCUCAAGCGUUGUUCGGAUUCAUUGGGCGUAAAGGGCGUGUAGGUGGCUCGCUAAGUCGGGUGUGAAAUUUCGGAGCUUAACUCCGAAACUGCAUUCGAUACUGGCGUGCUUGAGGACUGGAGAGGAGACUGGAAUUCAUGGUGUAGCAGUGAAAUGCGUAGAGAUCAUGAGGAAGACCAGUGGCGAAGGCGGGUCUCUGGACAGUUCCUGACACUGAGACGCGAAGGCCAGGGGAGCAAACGGG